GGGAGCCCGCGCGCCGCCGCAGCGAGGCCGGCCGGAGUCUCGCUCGGCACCCGGGUCUCCCCCCUGGUGCGGGAAGCGCAGCCCGGAAGCGGCCGCGAUCCGAAGCUUUCGGUCCCGGAGCCGGAGCGCUCGCCGGAGCCCGGGCUCCGAGCGCAGCCCCGGGACUCAGAGCCCAGCCCCGGGGGUCGCCGAGCCCGGGCCUCCGGCGCGCGCCCCUCCGCCCCUGCCGCUCGCUUUGCGGACACCUUGGUUUCUAGCUCGGCUCGGGGAUGCUGGGGGCCUCUUCUCCGAGGACCCUGGAGCCGGGGGGGACCCCGGCGCCCCCGCUCUCCCUCUGCUGCGGAGGAGCCUUGCUGGCGAUCCUGAUGCUGCUCGCGCUGCCCACGGCCUGGGGACAGUGCAAGGCUCCAGAACAAUUCUCCUCUGCCAGGCCUACAACUCCAAUUGAUGAAUCUGAGUUUCCCAUCGGAACAUCUUUGAAGUAUGAAUGUCGCCCUGGGUUCAUACGGAGACAGUUCUUGAUCACCUGCCUCCCAAACUCCGAGUGGACAGAUGUUUCAGAUAAGUGUAUACGUAAAGCAUGUAACACUCCUCCAGAUCCUCUGAAUGGCAGGGUACAUGUACAAACAGAUACGCAGUUUGGAUCUACAAUCACUUACACCUGUAACCAGGGAUUCCGGCUCCUGGGACCUUCCUCUGCCCUGUGCAUCCUCUCAGGAAACACUGUGGUUUGGGAUAAUGAAGCGCCUGAUUGUGAGAGAAUUCUCUGUGAGCCUCCGCCAGCCAUUCCCAAUGGAGAGAUCCUGAGCAGCAGUGAAGAUUUUCAGUAUGGCAUGGUGGUGACCUAUCGCUGCAUGCCUGGACCGAGAGGGAAGAAGCAGUUUAACCUGGUGGGGGAGCCAUCCAUAUACUGCACCAACGAUCCAGAUAAUAAUGGCAUGUGGAGUGGCCCACCCCCUCAGUGCAUCACAGUCAAUACCUGCGCUCCUCCAAGUGUGAAAGACGCAGUCAUGGUGUCUGGCAACAGGAGCUUAUUUUCCUUACAUGAUACAGUACAGUUUCAAUGUCAACUUGGCUUCGUCAUGAAAGGACCCACCAGUGUGCAGUGUGGGGCCCUGGGCAAAUGGGAGCCGGAAUUACCAAGCUGCUCUAGGGGAUGCCAGCCUCCUCCAGGAAUCCUGCAUGGCCAGUAUACCCCAAGUGUGGACAUCUUUUCAGUAGGGCAGGAAGUAUUCUACAGCUGUGAACCCGGCUAUGACCUCAGCGGGGCUGCGUCUCUGCAGUGCACACCCCAGGGAGACUGGAGCCCCGAAACCCCAACGUGUGCAGUGAAAUUAUGUGAUGACUUCACCAGCCAACUCCUUCAUGGUCAUGUGGAACUUCCACCAAGUCUACAAUUUGGGGCAAAAGUGACCUUCAGUUGUGAUGAAGGGUUCCGAUUAAAAGGCAACUCAGCUAGUUAUUGUAUCUUGGCUGGAAUAAAAACCCAGUGGAACAGCAGUGUUCCUGUAUGUGAACCUUGCCCACAUCCACCCACAAUCCAGAACGGGCACCACAUUGGUGACUACACAUCGUCAUAUCUUCCUGGGAUGAAAGUCAGCUACAUCUGUGACCCCGGCUACCUGUUGGUGGGAAGGGGCUUCAUUUUUUGUACACAUCAGAGAACCUGGAGCAAAUUUGAUCAUUAUUGCAAAGAAAUAAAAUGUAGCCUCCCACCAUUUAUGGAUGGAAUCCGGAAGGAGAUGGAAAUUAAAGAAGAAUAUCAUUAUCAGGAAAACAUAACUCUAGAGUGCCAACAUGGGUAUACAUUGGAAGGCAGCCCCUGGAGCCAAUGCCAAGCGGAUGGAUGGCACCCUCCAUUGGCUGUAUGUACAUCUAGCUCACGUACUACUCUCAUAAUUGGCAUCAUCUUAGGUAUGAUCUUCCUUAUUUUACUCAUCAUUGUGCUAUUUUGGGUAAUUCCCAGGUACAAAAAACGCAAUAUUACGCAUGGAAAGUCUAAAGAAGUGAAUAUCAAUCUAUACCCUCCAGAAAGCGACCAUGCCCAGCCCCAAAGUCUUCUAUCAAGUAAAGAAAACAGCAGUACUACCUCUUUCUGACCCUGGUCUGCAUUCAUCUAAGCCUGGUCUUCUCUAGCUACACCCAUCAAGAAUCCUAAAUUUAACAAGGGAGCCCCAGGGAAAGCGGCCUUCCUUGACAACAUACUAUAAAGCUGGAGCAUACCUCAAUUACAUGUUGACUAGACAGGAGCCAAUUCAUUGCAAUGGAAGAAGAUCUGGACUCAUGAAGAUCUGAAGCUUCCCAGGCCUCCCUUCUCAGUCUGCCCUUCGGUCACUCCCUCAGGCUCUUCAUCCUCUUGUUGGAGGAUCAGAUCCUUAUUAAGCUCGAGAAAAAUAGUUCAGGGACUUAAAGAAGUGUGUUGUUGUCUAAGAGUAGUGGUUUCUAAGUCAAUCAUUUCCCUUAUUUCAAAAUGUUCAUAACAUACACUGGAAAAGGAACACCUGGAAUAUGCACUGAGAUAUGAAAAUAAGAUGUACAGAAUUCUAUUAUGCAGCGAUAAGCAGUAAUUACUUAAUUUCCUUUUUGCCAGUAACUUCUCACAUUUUUGUCUUUAUACACACACACACACCUUUCUUGCUUCAAUAGUUGCUUUAUUUUAUAGAGCAGAACCCACUCGUUUAAAUAAGUUUGUAGAAAAAACAUUUUAUAUCCAUUUCUACUUUAUGGAUGAGGAUUUUUGUUUACUAUAGAGAUAUUAAACAAUUGUGGGGAGAAUGGUAAAGACUAAAAUGUCAAUCACUGGAUAUUUUCUUUUACAAAUAUUUUUACAAAUAUUACUAUGUUUUAUACUUUAAAAAACAUGAAAAGUGAAAUAAAAGAAUAAUUGUUACUGUUUAAAAAAAAACACCUAGAUAACUUUGGUAUAGCUUCAGAAUACACUAGAUCAACUAAAACAGCACCGCUUUUAAGAAUGUAUCAGUUGCUGGGAACCAGUGGCUCACUCCUAUAAUCCUAGCUACUCAGAGGCUGAGGUCUGAGGAUCUCGGUUCAAAGCCAG